AUGGAAACCUCUGCUCCAAGAGAGCCAAGUGUAGGAAGAAGCAAAUGUGCUGGCUGAAGCAUAAAAGAAGAAAGAUGAGGCAGAGGUCCAAGUAAACCACUAGCUUGUACACCCGUGGAGCCACAGGCGGAAGAGCAUCAUGUAGGGAAACAGAA